CAGCAUUCUUAAACCCUCUUGGUAGCUUCCUUUGUACUUCCAAGAUAAUGAAUGAAUGCUACAGAAAUGGCAGGAGAGUCCAAAAGGCUGAGCCUCACCUGUGGCUCACUCUUAUUUCAUACCUGCGACAUUU
rnacentral:snoRNA from 15 species